CACAUACUGAUUUGACACACUCAUUUACUGACAGACACAUAAACAUUGUCUCACACAUACUCACAAAUGAUUAUGUUGUAAUUAUGUCCAUUGUGACGGACCGCCUUGUACCCUGACCCCGGGUGCAUCCGCCAACCGAUGCACUGGCACUGUUAAAAUUCAUUUCCUGUUUUACCCUCAACACAGAGCCUCGUCUCAUGCGUGUAGGGGAGAGCUAUACCUCUUUGGAGUGCUAUAAUCACUAGAUCUUAAGAGCUGUUCUUGCUACGCUCAUUGGAGUAGGAGAGGUUUGCCCACUGGAAGCUGAAUCCUGGUCUAGGGUCCAGGGUGGGUGGAGGACGGCGAGUUCCCAGCCAAACUGUAAUGCUGGACGUGGGGACUACAGUGCUGAUGGAGUGCUUGGAGUCCUCGGUGAGCACUAGGAGCAUCGAUUGGCGGAGGCACCCCAUCGGGGUGCCAGGCGGUCCGUCACAUCCAUCCAAUCUCUCUACUUUUGGGUUACAUCAUAACCUGACUCCCAGCAUCAAUGCAGGGCAUAGGCGUGCGCAGCCUAUUGCAUUAGGGUGUGCACCCUAAAGCACAA